rnacentral:ncRNA from 2 species
CAACGUGCUCCGGGGUCGGUGAGAAUCCGAACCGGCGGUGACAGUCCGCGAACCCCGGCCGACAGGCCGAGGCCGACCCGGUGGAAUUCCGGGACCGACGGUGAUGGGGCGCUCCUUCGCAGGAGCAGCUCCGAGUCCGGAUGGGAGGCAGCACGUCG